rnacentral:rRNA from 1 species
ACACAUGCAAGUCGAGCGGUAACAGAUCCAGCUUGCUGGAUGCUGACGAGCGGCGGACGGGUGAGUAAUGCAUAGGAAUCUGCCCGGUAGUGGGGGAUAACCUGGGGAAACCCAGGCUAAUACCGCAUACGUCCUACGGGAGAAAGGGGGCUUCGGCUCCCGCUAUCGGAUGAGCCUAUGUCGGAUUAGCUAGUUGGUGAGGUAACGGCUCACCAAGGCCACGAUCCGUAGCUGGUCUGAGAGGAUGAUCAGCCACAUCGGGACUGAGACACGGCCCGAACUCCUACGGGAGGCAGCAGUGGGGAAUAUUGGACAAUGGGGGGAACCCUGAUCCAGCCAUGCCGCGUGUGUGAAGAAGGCCCUCGGGUUGUAAAGCACUUUCAGCGAGGAAGAACGCCUAGCGGUUAAUACCCGCUAGGAAAGACAUCACUCGCAGAAGAAGCACCGGCUAACUCCGUGCCAGCAGCCGCGGUAAUACGGAGGGUGCAAGCGUUAAUCGGAAUUACUGGGCGUAAAGCGCGCGUAGGUGGCUUGAUAAGCCGGUUGUGAAAGCCCCGGGCUCAACCUGGGAACGGCAUCCGGAACUGUCAAGCUAGAGUGCAGGAGAGGAAGGUAGAAUUCCCGGUGUAGCGGUGAAAUGCGUAGAGAUCGGGAGGAAUACCAGUGGCGAAGGCGGCCUUCUGGACUGACACUGACACUGACGUGCGAAAGCGUGGGUAGCAAACAGGAUUAGAUACCCUGGUAGUCCACGCCGUAAACGAUGUCGACCAGCCGUUGGGUGCCUAGCGCACUUUGUGGCG